rnacentral:rRNA from 1 species
UACGUAGGGUGCGAGCGUUGUCCGGAAUUACUGGGCGUAAAGAGUUCGUAGGCGGUUUGUCGCGUCGUUCGUGAAAACUUGGGGCUUAACUCCAAGCGUGCGGGCGAUACGGGCAGACUUGAGUACUACAGGGGAGACUGGAAUUCCUGGUGUAGCGGUGAAAUGCGCAGAUAUCAGGAGGAACACCGGUGGCGAAGGCGGGUCUCUGGGCCGAUAUUGACGCUGAGGAGCGAAAGCGUGGGGAGCGAACAGG